UACGGGGGGGGCAAGCGUUGUUCGGAAUUACUGGGCGUAAAGGGCGCGUAGGCGGCCUCUUAAGUCGAACGUGAAAUCCCCGGGCUCAACCCGGGAACUGCGUCCGAUACUGGGAGGCUUGAAUCCGGGAGAGGGAUGUGGAAUUCCAGGUGUAGCGGUGAAAUGGCGUAGAUAUCUGGAGGAACACCGGUGGCGAAGGCGGCAUCCUGGACCGGUAUUGACGCUGAGGCGCGAAAGCUAGGGGAGCAACGGG
rnacentral:rRNA from 1 species